rnacentral:misc_RNA from 1 species
GAUGAAGAACGUAGUGAAAUGCGAUAAGUAAUGUGAAUUGCAGAAUUCAGUGAAUCAUCGAAUCUUUGAACGCACAUUGCGCCCCCUGGUAUUCCGGGGGGCAUGCCUGUUCGAGCGUCAUUUCAACCCUCAAGCUCUGCUUGGUAUUGAGUCCAUGUCAGCAAUGGCAGGCUCCAAAAUCAGUGGCGGCGCCGCUGGGUCCUGAACGUAGUAAUAUCUCUCGUUACAGGUGCUCGGCGUGCUUCUGCCAAAACCCCAAUUUUUCUAUGGUUGACCUCGGAUCAGGUGGGGAUACCCGCUGAACUUAAGCAUAUCAAUAAGCGGAGGA